rnacentral:lncRNA from 1 species
CGGCUUUUACGUAAUUUUAUUUUUUGCGUGUCUCUGCAUCAUGUGCGCUUUCCUCUACAUUAACUUAAAAACGGAACUAGGUUGUAUCUGAAAAGCUAACAUCAUUAGCAUAAACAAAAGCAUGCUAUUUGUUACACACAAACAUUUAUUCAGUUAACUGUCACUCAGUUCUAGCUUCUCGGCUGAAAGAGUGCAAGGCAGAUGGGUAAGCGACAGAGGUGAGGUAAGGUCAGAUGGGAGCGGAUACAGCGAGGAAAAUACAAAGUGACCCGGGAGGGACACUUUAGACGGGUGGCGAGGGGCCGUGGGACUGUCACUCGAGCCGAGGGCUGAGAGGAGCAUGAGCGCUAACCCCUUUAGCGUCAAAGCGAAAACAAGUCAUUAAGUUUCACGCCUGCGGCUGCCCGCUGGAGACUGGGCCAGGGACAGACAAAAACGCACGUGUGAGAGGCGAGCUCGCACCCACUUCCCCACGGCCACGCCGCGGUCCCAUCCACCUGCACAACUCAGGCCGGACGCUGCAGCCUUGCGAGGGACGCGGGCUGCGACCUCCCGGAGGACAAAUCGGUGAACCACCGCAGUUAAUAAAACGCAGCUCCGCGGCGCGAACCCCCCGCUCCCCUCCAUGUCCCACCCGGUGGCACCACACAUCCUGCGCGUCCGCUCGGGGACGGCGCAUGCGGCCGGUACUCGGAAGGCUCCCAACUCCGAGAUCCGCGAUCCGGGACCCAGGCCCCACUUCUGGGCGUAGCACAAAAUGAGGAGCGCGGAAUACCUGGACCGGACGCAGUGCACGGAGCCCGAGGUGCGCACGCGCAGUGCCGGUCGCAGCGCGGGUAGGGGAGGACCCCGCAGCGGACGUCCUUACGCAGGCGCCGGAGCCCGGUGGGGAGGAGGGCGAAGACUCCAUCCGCCAUGUUGGAUGCCGCAGAUUCGCCAUAACCUCGCUGGCUCUUUUCUUAAAAAAAUAAAAAUAAAAAGCGAAGGGUCCGCAGGGCGUCCCGCCUUCUCGGUUGGCACGGGAGGGGUACGAGCAGACCCGAGGCUUUUUUUUCCUCUGCGGUGGGGGCGUUGCCAUGGAGACGCGGGCGGCAGAAAACACAGCCAUCUUCAUGUGUAAGUGCUGCAAUCUUUUCUCACCAAAUCAGUUGGAACUCCUGUCCCAUGUUUCUGAGAAGCACAGAGAAGAAGGACUUAAUGUUGAUGACAUCAUCAUUCCCCUUAGGCCUCUGACUACUCCUGAACCCCCCAACCCAAGCAAGACUGGAGAUGGUAAGGGAAGCUGGCAUGCUG